CAACAUUACCCAACAAUCACCAAUAUACCAAAAAUGUCAUCAACCAAGUACCUUAUUAACAAACUAAACAUAUUGGCUAUUUUGUCAAGUACAAAACCUCUAUACAUGCCAUUAUAACCAUGACUUAAAAACACCAAAAUCUAUAGAUAUAGCCGAAGGAUAGUGUGAUAGGUAGAAAUAGAGUCGAUUAAUCUGAAGCUUUAUCUUUGCCCCGAUUUAAAGUUGUACGAGGUCUAUAUUGAUCUAAAUGAAUAAAUUCA
rnacentral:lncRNA from 1 species